UCGACCCCAUCAUACACAUGGCCCGACCUCGACCUGAUUGGUACACGCAUGCGCAAUAUGUCACCCACGCCGAUUAACAAGUAAGCCAUUUCGUGGUUUUCCUGAUCACCGGAGUCCGUUUUCCUCAAACGACGAAUACAAAUCGACGAUGGAAUGACCGAUUAACAAGUAAGCCAUUUCGUGGUUUUCCCGAUUACCGGAGUCCAUUUUCCUCAAGCGACGAAUACAGAUCGGCGAUGGAAUGAUAUGUGAUUACUGACUAGUAUUUCGACUCAUCCCCCUCCCGUUUUUUCCUCCAUUCUCACACUUCGCUUCUUUCUCCUCUGGUUUUCUUUCCUUCGUCAAAGCUCCAUCCUCGAGCAGGAACCAGAAUCCUUCUGCUAAAACCAACCCAAAUUAAAACUUAGAAGCAGCAGCAGAAAAGAAGAAGUACUAAUCUGCUGUUUUCCCCACCCACCAUAAAUGGGCAAGUACAUGGAAGAACCAGAUUCAAUGUUAAAUUUCUAUCAUUAAUGAAACUCCUUUGUUUGGAUACUAAAUUUAGUAGGGAAGUCAUUAAGAAUUAAUUAUUAAAAUCAUUGCCAUAAUAAAGUCCACUGGAUGCCAACAAAGGCCACACCCUCAUCAGAAACUUUGCUAACCAUGCCAUAACCAUCAACAAUCGCAGUCUUCAAAAUAUCAAGCAAAAUCAUCACCUCAGCACCAUAAGAAACACCAAACAAUACCUUGACCUCUGCUAUACCCUGACGUAUUCGAUUAAGUGACAAAAUCUACAUCGGAAACCCAAUAUGUAUCCAAAUCGAAACCCGAUAUUUGCAUUGGCGGUGGCGGCUUCGGCUUCUCUCCUACUCUUUGUAAUUUUUCAGAAUCCCGCCAUCACUGGUCGUCUUCUUCCCUCAAUCCGAAUGGCAUUUCAAGUCUUGCAAGGGAGAGACAUAACAAUCGCCAACUUUGG
rnacentral:lncRNA from 1 species